CGUGUAGGCGGUCGGUCGAGUCCGAUGUGAAAGCCCGGGGCUCAGCCUCGGAAGUGCAUCGGAAACUAGCCGGCUGGAGCGCGAUAGAGGAGGGUAGAAUUCCUGGUGUAGCGGUGAAAUGCGUAGAUAUCAGGAGGAAUACCGGCGGCGAAGGCGGCCCUCUGGAUCGUUGCUGACGCUGAGACGCGAAAGCGUGGGGAGCAAACAGGAUUAGAUACCCUGGUAGUCCACGCGGUAAACGAUGGGUACUAGGUGUUCGGGGUAUUGACCCCCUGAGUGCCGCAGCUAACGCAUUAAGUACCCCGCCUGGGGACUACGGCCGCAAGGUUAAA
rnacentral:rRNA from 1 species